rnacentral:lncRNA from 1 species
CACAGUAAUGCAGAGGCUUUUGGUACAGAUUUCUGUCUGUGAAUUCAAAUACAUGUAAUGCUCUGUUCAGUCACUUAGCCUCUACUGACAAUAACUAACUAUGACAUUUCUGUAUAUUCUGUCUUCUGAACAGGCUCUGCUUAAUACUGCUUCUCUUAUGUUGUCUGUGACAUGGUUAGCCUUUCUUUAGUUUUUAUUUUUGUUCAACAGGAAAUGCCAGGCUUUUCUGAGUGCAUCUUUCCUUUUCUUCUAGGCACUGCUCUAUUACUUUGGCUGUAGGUGUUGGAAGAUGAAAUUCUGCUCGUCUUCCAGGCAAGCAAAUCCCCAUCCUGCAAUGUGCAGACAAGCUGCUAAAAUGCUGGGACAGGUAGACUGGGGGAAACACGAAGAAAUUCCAGACUUCCUGUAUGGCACCAGGUGUGAACACAAAGAAGAGGGAUGAACAGGAGGUCGGGUCAUCACUUAAGGUUGUAAACUCCUCUUGCUAAGGAAAAGAAGGUGGCCUGCUCCCUCUAUAGGCUUCCCUGGUUGUUGCUUUCACAAACCAGCUAUCCAGGAGAUCAGAGCUGCAUGCUUUUGAAGACUGUCAAAAAUGCUGAAGUGAGAUGUGUUUUGUCUUUCUUUUAAAUUUAGAGAUGGUUUUUGUGUGUGUACAUGUGUGUGAAUAUGCAUUUGUGUGUGUAUGCACGUGUAUGUGUGUGUACAUAUGCCCACACAUGUUCUCUAACAUCUACGUAUAAAACUACUUUUCCUCCAAAAGUCACGUAGGGUGCUGUUUUACUGUUUAGCCUUUUAUUUAGAGCAAGUGCAUGAUCCUUUUGUGUGAACUUGCUGUUUGUUAAUGGUUUGUGACAGCAACCUCCUGACUGCAUCCUGCCCUUAUUAAUGGAAGAGACACCAUCUGAGCCAGCAGUUCCACGAACUCAGGCUUCCUCCCCAGUGUCUUCUAUCCCAACUGCUUUUCUUUCCUCUCUGUUCCAGGACUCUGGCUCCUCAGUUGCACCAGCACUGCAAUUUCUGGCAUCGUUCUGGCUUUGGCAACAUCAUUUCUCCUCACAGGAAGAAGACUGUAAGACAACCCAGCAUUACCUUUCAGAGGGUUGUGCCAUCAUGCUCUACUGAAUUGUACCGCCAGGGUGUUGCAAAGAGUGCCUUGCAAUGUGGAGCUACCCAAACCUAACAAGGCUUGGGAGCGACGUAUUCAUUACUAUAUGCGUGACCUCAUCUUCAAAGGAAGAUUAGCAUUAGCCAACUUAAGAUGAUGGAAAGGGAGGAGUUGGUUUAAAAUUAAUUUCAGUGACAAUAGGAUUCAAUAAAAUAAUAAAAUCUAUUCUUGUCA